rnacentral:rRNA from 1 species
CCUACGUGAGGCAGCAGUGGGGAAUAUUGCGCAAUGGGCGAAAGCCUGACGCAGCGACGCCGCGUGAGGGAUGAAGGUCUUCGGAUCGUAAACCUCUGUCAGCAGGGAAGAACGGUCACUGUGCUAAUCAGCAGUGAAUUGACGGUACCUGCAAAGGAAGCACCGGCUAACUCCGUGCCAGCAGCCGCGGUAAUACGGAGGGUGCGAGCGUUAAUCGGAAUUACUGGGCGUAAAGCGCUCGUAGGCGGUAUGUCAAGUCAAGGGUGAAAUCCCCGCGCUCAACGUGGGAACUGCCUUUGAAACUGGCAAACUGGAGUGUGUGAGAGGAGAGUGGAAUUCCAGGUGGAGGAGUGAAAUCCGUAGAUAUCUGGAGGAACAUCAGUGGCGAAGGCGACUAUCUGGCACAUAACUGACGCUGAGGAGCGAAAGCGUGGGUAGCAAACAGGAUUAGAUACCCCUGUAGUC